rnacentral:antisense_RNA from 1 species
CACCUUGCAGGGCAGGCGCGCAGCGCCGGUUGGAAUUGGAACAGGGGCCAACCACGCGCCUGCAAGGGAAGCCAGGGCCGGAAUGUCGGGGGACGUCCGGCCCUUUUUU